rnacentral:rRNA from 1 species
UAACACCAGCGCCACAAGUGGCAACCGCUUUUAUUGGGCCUAAAGCGUCCGUAGCCGGUUCAGCAAAUUUCCUGUGAAAUUGUUGGGCUUAACUUAACAUCGUGCAGGAAACACUACUAGACUUGGGACCGGGAGGCGUCAGAGGUAUUCUUGAGGGAGCGGUAAAAUGCUAUAAUCUCAGGAGGACCACCGAUGGCGAAGGCAUCUGACGAGAACGGAUUCGACGGUGAGGGACGAAAGCUAGGGGAGCAAACCGGAUUAGAUACCCGAGUAGUCCUAGCUGUAAACGCUGCGAGCUAGGUGUUACGUAUUCUUCGGGAAUACGUAGUGUCGAAGCGAAGGUGUUAAGCUCGCCGCCUGGGAAUUAUGGUCGCAAGACUG